rnacentral:tRNA from 1 species
GCCGCCGUAGCGUAGCCUGGUUAGCGCACAGACAUCCUUAUCCUGGUGGCCGGGUUCAAAUCCCGGCGGCGGCC